rnacentral:miRNA from 1 species
AUAUCAGCCCCGAUCUCUUGGACC